rnacentral:lncRNA from 1 species
CAGCCACCGUUUGCAUACGAAGAUGCCUUUGCUGUGCUCGUGAGUGUCGCCUGUGGGCCGUUUGUUUUGCUCCGCCGGAGGGUGGAGUGAUGCCUCGCUGCUGCUGCCGGUAUACAGCGCGCCAUGCGAAGAUUCGUCGGGAAUCGCCGUUGCAACGCACAGCGACCCGCUCCCUCCCUUUCUCCUCAAACGGCGGCGCGGCACGCCCUUCGGUGGUCUUUCCGGGACGCGCCACCGAGCCAAGCGAUUGGCCACCGCCGUAGUCAGCCGUGCCGAGGGAGGCCCGGCGCUUCCGCCGCACCUAGGCGGCACGCCGCUGCGAGGAGCCAUUCCGGGAGGAGCAGCGCCCGCCUUUGCUCCCGUGGGGGCUAGGCCGAUGGCCGAGCGCGGGGCGCAAGGCGUGCCGGGAGGAGCGGCCGCGCCUCGUGCUCGUCGUUCCGGCGCCGGAGGGCAAAGCCGAGGACCUUGGCUCGGCCAUUGGACGCCGAUGAGACGCCUCGCUGAUGGAAGCAGGCGAGGCCGCUUGUUCGUUGAGCGCUCCGUUGGGAUGGGUUGCCGUCUCCGAUGGGCAACGAUGAAAACAAGCACUCCAAUGGUUAGUUCAUCCGUUCAAACAUGAACAUAACUAAUCAGUUUGUGCAUUUAUUUACUGAGUGCAUAUGCAAACCGGAUUAUCAUCGAUCCGUUCUUUAUGGAUUUAGAUUCAGCAUGUCUAUGAGGAGAUCGGCCAUGCUCCAAGCCGAGGGCCGCUCUGGGAUGCAGGGCGCCUGGAACCUCGUUGGGAAUAAUAGUCGUUGCUGCGCCUCCACGAACGGUGGGGAAACUGACUACUAUCCGUCGUCGUUUCCGAUUCUUUCGCCUGGUCGCUCAGGAAAGAGCGUGCUGAUGACGUGUUAAGAAUAAACGAGAGAGGGAAAGCGAAUGAUUGGAAUGAACAGUAAUCUCUCGUUGAUGAAAACUGAGAUAUUUAUACCCAGUACAUGGCGGUUUAUAAAAGGGGUGGUUGCCAAAAGAACAACCGAUAUAGUAUUGAUUAAUUACAUAAUUAAUACAUACUAAUUAUUUCUAACAAUGGCCUCCCUCGCGCGUGGGCCGAGUCAUUAGGCUCCCACUUCAGCGAGUUUAUUUGUAUAUUUUGACUUCUCGGCUGAUUCACUUCUUCUAAUGGUAAGAGCAUCUACACCCGGACUUGACAAAUCCGUCCCCCUAUACACACGUGGACGGAUCCGGGCGCCCGCGAACGCAUCCGGACGACCUUUUAUAUUUCGCUCUGUGCAUCCAUAUAUCUCAUAUCCGGACUCUAAAAUUCAUACAAAGCCAUGCACGUCGUCAUCCCAUACAAAUUAUUCGAAUUCAAGAGUCCUAAACAAAAGGAAAUGAUAUCAUAGUUCAACCAAACGGACAUGUCAAAAUAAAAUCAAUGUCUGACCGACAAGUGCUGAUUGUUGGAUCACUGGCCGGACGAGUUCAUCCAUGCGUCUUGCCCUGCCUGCAUCUGGGCUGUUGUUAGAGCAUAUUUCUCCAUAUGUGGUUUUGGUAAUUGAUGACAAUCCCUAUGGACUAAUGGUUGACUUAAGUUAUAUUUAUAGGAUUUGUCCAUAGGCACUUCUUGAAGUCCAUCUGUUGGGUUCAAGGAGUUUAUAUGAUGACCAAGGUGGUAUUCAAGGUAUUAUCCAAAGAAUGGUCAUAGAGACACAAGGUUGAUCAAGAUCGUCAGACAAAGAGUAAAUCAAGAUGAUCAACACACAAAGCGUACAAGAUGUACCGACGGGGAUCAAGUGAUCCCAUGGUAUGGUAAGCAUUGUCCAUUACGUGUUUGUGUACUAACCCAUGGUCUUUGUGAGAGUUCUCUGUGGGGUUAGGUGUGUUUCCAUGGGCUUGCGUCUAGAGGAAGAUCUCAUACAACCCAUGAAGUAUGACGUCAAAAGUGGUGAUCGUCAUCAAAAUUGCGGUGUGCAAGUUCAAGUGGAUCAGCACGAAGAUAUCAUGCUUGAAGCUUGCCGUCCAUUGUAGUGGCAAUGAACUUGUGAAGAUAUGCUGAAGAGCGGCUCACCCAUGUUGUGCAUGGGGGAGCAAUCAACUAGUAUUCAUCAAGCCAACGCAAUCAACAAGGUGGUCCAUCUUGAGGAAGCCAAGAUCAUCGUCAUCUAGCUUAAGAGGACGAGGUGCAAGGUAUAUGUUUGCCCUUGAUAGGUUUUCUGUUUUAGGAUAGAUUGUCGUACUAUCAAGGGGGGAUCUCAAGUGAGUAGCUCGAUCGUAUUGUUCGUUGAGAGCCCAAACCAUUUGCAUCCUUGCAUCAUACUUCUUGGUUCUUGUUUGGUGUUUCUCUUUGUGAGUUUUAGAGCUUAUGCUCAUCUUCAUGACAAGCUCGAGUUCAUCGAAAACGGAGUCCAUAUGCAUCUACUAUGAUGUUUUCGAUGUUGGAGUUUUUGCCGGUUCUUAAUUCAUAGAGGUCUCACAUCUCUAUAUCAUUGGCAUUUUCAUAUCUGCUUGGUCUUAAGAUAGCUGUUUGGAUAGCUCUUGUCGUCCUGAAUCCAACAAGCUUGGGUUUGCUCGAUUCGGAGCUCGUGUGCGAAAGUUAUGGUUGUU